rnacentral:rRNA from 1 species
UGGGGAAUCUUGCACAAUGGGGGAAACCCUGAUGCAGCGACGCCGCGUGAGCGAUGAAGGUUUUCGAAUCGUAAAGCUCUGUCCUAUGGGAAGAUAAUGACGGUACCAUAGGAGGAAGCCCCGGCUAACUACGUGCCAGCAGCCGCGGUAAUACGUAGGGGGCGAGCGUUGUCCGGAAUUACUGGGCGUAAAGGGUUCGCAGGCGGCAUGACAAGUCCGAUGUAAAAGGCGAAAGCUCAACUUUCGUAAGCAUCGGAAACUGUCAAGCUUGAGGGAAGGAGAGGCAAGUGGAAUUCCUAGUGUAGCGGUGGAAUGCGUAGAUAUUAGGAGGAAUACCGGUGGCGAAGGCGACUUGCUGGACUUCAACUGACGCUGAGGAACGAAAGCGUGGGUAGCAAACAGG